AAAUGCUUUGGGUUGGAUGUCGAGCAACGCUGGGAUGUAGUAAACACAUUGUUUUAAAGCGAUUAGAUGACUUUAAAAAUGAUAAAAUGACUGUAAUCAAGCUGUGACACUUUCCACAUUAAAAUGAACAUCACACAGCGGCCAGAGCUGGAUUGUAUUCAGGGUCUGUGUGUGUCCGGCAGGUUUUCUGGGUGCGUGUGUGUGUCCAGCUGUCGGGAUCUGGCGGGUGUCUGAGUCUCUGGAUCAGACUGCUCUUUUAUUAGCGCGCGGCUUCUCGGUGCCCGAGCCAAAAUGUCAGCAUCAACAGCAGUGAUGUUCUCAGCUGCUCCUCAAUCCACACACACGCGCGCGCGUGCACACACACUGUGCUUAUCUCUGGGUUUAAGAGCUCUGUGUCGGGCUGGACAAAAGUGUGGUGAUAACUGUGGAAACAGCAGGAGGAGACAGCGGCUCUGGAGACUCAAGACUGACUGACUGACUGGAGCUUUCACUGGACAGACACAAAUCCAUCAUCAGUGUGUCGGACUGAUUAUGUCAUUCAGGAUGAGAGUCCAAGGGGCAUUUCAACUACCCAACAGUAAAAAAAGAGAUGAUUUAAAAAAAAAAAAAAAAAGUUGUCUAAGCAUGCAAUUCAGAUUAUAUAUCAUUGCUCUUCUGAUUUGACACUAAUUUCAGUCAACAACAUCACAAAGAAUGCACAAACGAACAAACAAACAAGCGAAAAAGCGAGCGAGCGAACAAACGAGCGGACAAACAAACGAAUGAAGGAGUGAACCAACAAGAAAUUUAAUGGACGAACAAACAUAUGAAUGAAUGAGUGAACGAACGAACAAACAAAUGAAGGAGCGAACG